AUUGAACGCUGGCGGCAGGCUUAACACAUGCGAGUCGAGCGGGCGAGGUUGCUUCGGUAACUGAGCUAGCGGCGGACGGGUGAGUAAUGCUUAGGAAUCUGCCUAUUAGUGGGGGACAACAUUCCGAAAGGGAUGCUAAUACCGCAUACGUCCUACGGGAGAAAGCAGGGGCUCUUUAUGACCUUGCGCUAAUAGAUGAGCCUAAGUCGGAUUAGCUAGUUGGUGGGGUAAGGGCCUACCAAGGCGACGAUCUGUAGCGGGUCUGAGAGGAUGAUCCGCCACACUGGGACUGAGACACGGCCCAGACUCCUACGGGAGGCAGCAGUGGGGAAUAUUGGACAAUGGGGGGAACCCUGAUCCAGCCAUGCCGCGUGUGUGAAGAAGGCCUUUUGGUUGUAAAGCACUUUAAGUGGGGAGGAGGCUUACCUGGUUAAUACCUGGGCUAAGUGGACGUUACCCACAGAAUAAGCACCGGCUAACUCUGUGCCAGCAGCCGCCGUAA
rnacentral:rRNA from 1 species